rnacentral:tRNA from 1 species
GGGGUCGUCGUCCAGCAUGGAUCGGGCACCAGCUUCCGGAGCUGGCUUACGUGGGUUCAAAUCCCACCGUCCCCG